rnacentral:tRNA from 1 species
CAGCGCAUCUGUUUUGGGUACAGAGGCGACGAGGGGUGCUAACCCGGCCAUAGGUUCGAAUCCUGUCACCUU